CGUGGCUUCCGGCGUUUGGCGGGGUCUUUGUCUCUCGCUGGCGCUGGCACAGGAGCUUGGGAUCCGUCUCCUCUUUCGUCUCCUCCACCUUCGGAGCCCCGGGCUACUCUCUCACAGCCCCUGUUGCACUGUGAUCUGUAGGUCCUUGGGGACGCAUAGUUAAGGUGCCAGGACAUCCUGGAAGCUGGGAAAUGGUGAGUAUGCGGGAUUCGGCAUCCCGAGAGGGGAGAGCAGGCUGUGAAGUAGGCAGGACCGGCCUCCCCACGGUUAGCUCCGAGCCUCCCGCAGCUUGGCCCUCAGUCCCCUGUGGCUGCAAGAUGGCCGCUGGGCCAGCAGCGAGGACCCCCACGUCCCGCCCGGCCCAUUCGGUCCUGUCCCUGGGCAGCGCCCUGCUCUGCGCCCACAGCCCUGAGUAUUUCCCAGAUUGUUCAGGGAUGCCAGGUGGGUCAUCAGGGAAAAACCGAGACUGGGUGUUUGCGUGGGAGGAGCUGCGGCCCGUGGCGUCCACAGUCUCCCUUGUUAAAAAUUAGCGGGAGUCUAUGUUAAAACGUUAACCAGUUUAUCUGAACAAACAGUGACUGGUGAAAUGGAAAGCACCCAGAAAUGAUUUGUGGUCCACCCGAGGGGCAUAAAGGAAAGGCUUUUAUAAGAUGCAUGAGAAAGCAACCCAAAUUCACAAAUUGUUUCCAGUUAUGUAGUCUCCUUAUUUGAACUAUCCAGAUGGAAAUUUCCUAGUUACAUAUUCAGAGGUUAAUUGCAUGUUUGUCAUUGGUUAAAUCUGCAUUUUGUUUCAGGCUAAGAUAAUGGUUUAUAGGAAAUGUAUUUGAGUUAGGUUUUAGAAUUUUUUUUUUUUUUUAACCUAUGAACACAGGGCACUACAGCCACUUUAGUCUAGUUUUCUGCUCUUUAAUUAUUUUAACACUUCAGAGGAGGACUGGUUUUCUCCUGUGUUUUUUUAAUGUAUGGCAAAUGGAGCCUCUAAUCGACCACCCUGUUUUUCAGCCUAACUCAGACUUGCAGUAAAAUUAUAAGGUCCCACUUUCUUUGCUGCAUUCUCAAAUGCAACACAUGAGACCAGCUUUCCCUUGCCAAUUUACAAUGCUAUUAACUAUUUGUCCUUUACUAUACAUUUCAUUAAAGCUUUCUAUUAUUGGAUUUCUUUCUACUUCUCCCUACAGUUCUGGCAAUAUUUGCUUUUUAUAUUUAGAAGCCUCCCUUUUGGGCACAUAAAUAUAUAUAGCUAUAUUCUCUUGACAAAUUAACCUCUAUUAUUAUUGUAUGGUAAACUCAUUUCAUGCUUGUGAGAGACAUUGCUAGAAAGUCUAUUUUGUCUAAUUUAAGCAUAACUACCAUUGCACUCCUUUGGUUAUUAUUUGCAUGUAAUAUCAUUUUCUAUCCUUUCACUUUUAGCCUAUGCUCUUAAUUCAUAAUUGAGUCUCCUGUAAGCAGCAUAUUACCAGGUUUAAAAGAUUCAUUUAUCUACUCUGUCUGCUUUAGUCUCUUUUGGCUGCUAUAACAGAAUAUCACAGACUGGUAAUAAAGAAUAGAAUUUUAUUUGACUCAUAAUUCUGGAGGCUGGGAAGGCAAAACAACAUGAUACUGGUAUCUGUUGAAGGUCUAGUUGCUGGAUAAUAACAUGGCCAAAGAUGUGAGGGAGAGAGAGCCUUUUUUUAAAUAUAUAACAGAUCCAUUCUUGCUAUAUUUAGCCCAUUCCCAUAAUAAGAACAUUAAUCCAUUCAUGAAGGCAGAGUUCUUAUAGCUUAAUUAAUUUUUAAAGGUUCCACCUCUUAAUUCUAACAUAUUGGCUAUUAAAUUUUAUCCUAAAUUUUGGAGAUGACAUUCAGUCUACAGCAGUAUCUGUUUAGUAGAUAAUUUAAUAUUUUUAUUUGUAAGGUAGUGAUAGGUAAGCAGUUACCAUUGUAAAUUUGUGGUUUUCUGUCCAUUUUAAAUUUGCUUCCUUUUUUUCUGGUUCUGUCUUUCCUGUGGUAUUGUUAAUUUUUGUUGAGACAAAGUUAUGCUUUCUUGCUCAGACUGAAGUGCAGUUGCAUAUCACAGCUCACUGUAGCCUCAAUCUCCUGAAAUCAAGCAAUCCUCCCACCUUAGCCGCCCAAGUAGAUUGGACUAGAGACACACACCACAACACCCAAGGAGCUUAUGAUUCUUCCACCUUGGCCUCCCAAAGUGUUGGAAUUAUAAGCAGGAGCCACCAUAUCCAAUGUGUAAUUUUUAUUGUUUGUAUAUGCUUUAAUUACUUUCUGUUUUUUUACUACAGUUUUUUCCUAGUGGUUAUCAUGAGACUUAUAUAAAACAUCUUGUAUUUUAAUAAUCUGGUUUAAGAUGAUAACAAUUUAGAGUAUUCUGAAUUUCGGUAUGUAUUUACCAUUUUUAGUGACAUUUAUACUUUAGUAUUUUUCAUAUUGGUAGUUAGCAUUUCAUCUUAUCAAUGUGAAGAUUUCUUCUAGACCAUGGCUGGAGAAGUAAAGAAGGUGGGUUUUGCCUGAUUCAGGGACUAUAGAGAGAACCAAGUUCUACAGGCCUGUCACCUGUCUCAGUGGAAGAGAGACUAUCCCUGUCUUUACACCCGGUAGCAUUUCCAACAGUAAGCUGUGAGAUUCUGCUUGAAAUCACCUCUCAAACAAAUAAAAAACAGACCUGGGAAAUGUGCUACACUCAUUCUGCUGAAGAAAUCGUAUCAGGAUUCAGUUGCCUGGACUGCAAUGUGUCUCUAAGGAAUGGAAACUAAGCGUUGGGGUAAGAAAAUCUUAAUGUCCUAAGGGGUUUGCUUUUAGCACAAGGGUAUACCUGGAGAUUCCUUCCAGGUACAGUGCAUCCAACCACUCCACAGAGAGACUGCAUUCCCAUACCUUGGGCUGUUCCCUGAGAGGAGAUGACACAAGGGAUGCUAUUUACUAGACACUUUAAGAGUCAUGGCCACUGUUGGCAUCUUGGGGAGUCCUCAAACAGUUUUGAAACUCAAAACCAAAAAAUAACAAGAUGGCUGAGGAUGUAUUGCACUGUGAAGUUUCCGAAAUGAAACCUGAACCCAAAGACAUUCUGAUAGGGUGUCUGUGCCAAGGUAAGAUUAAAGAAAGGGGCACAAAGGUUUUCUUUUUUUUCUUUUUCUUUUUUUUUUUUCUUUCACUGUGGAGCGUCAGGGAUUAUUAUCUGCUUCCGUCUCCUGUAAAAUGUCUACAAUUGAAAAAUAUUUUUUUAAGUGUCAUCGACUGCUUUUUGAAAAAAUGGAGAAUUAAACUCGUGUGUCUAAAAUGUACAAUAAAGAACAGUUGAUAAUGUUGUGAGUUACACAAUUUAGUUAAUGUUGGUGAGUGUCAGGAAAGAACUGGAAAUUUAAAAUGUGACUGCAAGCCAGAGAUAGGCUGGGGUAACACGGUUGUAGAUUUGAGGCCCUGUUUGCCACACAUUUGGAAAAUGCAUGAGAAAACUAAUCCUCUUUUGGAGUAUUAAAACAACUAAAAAAACAGGCCAUUGCAUUGAGGUGGCUCUAGUGUCCUGAAGUUCUUACUGGGGAGACAGGGAAAGACCUCCCUAGAUCCAAAAAGCUGCCCAUUCUUCUCCUGCUGUGCACCUGAUUAGAUACUUUCCACUCCAGCACCCAUGAUUGGAUAGAGUUCAAUUCCCCAUCCCGCCCCCUCAGGCCAUGAAUGACAUAUGUGAUUUGACAUUGGCUUUAAUAAAGCAAGAAUUAUAGGUUUUUCCUGGAUCCUUUUCUGGCAGGACUUCCUCCAUGCACUGGACACUGGCCCUGCCUGUAAAAUACUUGCAUUUACAUUUGUGUGUAAGAUUAUUUUUAUUUAUGAAUAAUAUAUAUGUGUUAUUCAUACAUGGAAACAAUAUAAUGACAAUUAUUUUAAAAUUUCAGAUUUUUUACUUUCCUGGCACAUCCAGGCUUUAGAGCAGAUAGCCUGAGAUUUCAAAAAUGAGGCAAUUCUCUAGGAAAUAAUAUGUGAGGCACUUGUGAAUUUUAAGUAUUCUAGUAGCUACAUUUUAGUAAAUACACCAGGCAUGCUUCCCUGUGCUUGUAGGUCGAACUGUGAGGGAGUCUGAUGUAGGAGGAUCACUUGAGGCCAGCAGUUUGAGACCAGCUCAGGCAACAUAGAGAAAGCCAUCUCUACAAAAAAAAAAAGAAAAAAAUGGAAAAAUUAGCCAGUUAUGGUGGUGCAUGCCUUCGGUCCCAGCUACUGAGAAGGCUGGAGCUGGAGGAUCGCUUGAGCCUGGGAGGUCAAGGCUGCAAUGAGCCGUGAUCACCACUGCACUCCAGCCUCACUGACAGAGCAAAACCCUGUCUCAAAAAACUGAUCUCUGGAAAGGCAUUUUCAUUUUCUUCAAUGUAGCAAAACAGCUAAGUAUGUAUUGAAGCCAUCCUUUAAUUUUUAACAGGGCAAGGAUGUUUUCUAAAACCGCGAACUCCUGAUUUGCGAUGUGGCAAAUCCUGAAGUGUACAUGGAUAUCUCUCACAGCUAAAGUAUCCCUCACCCCUACCCAGUGCUUCUUACCCCUGGCGCGAGAGAAUCACCUGCGGGGAGAAAAACUUUCGAAAUCCCUUAAACCCAAGUUGUAACCGAUCAAUUAAAUCAGAAUCCUUGCAGUUGGAUCUGAAAAAAAUACGGUUUAAAGUUGUGCAGGUGAUUACAAUGUGUAGGAACGCCACAAAACCAUGGGUUUAACCAGCAACCUUUGUUAGAAAUGAUUUCUCAAAUGAAUGUAAAAACGUUUGCUGCUGAAUUGUGACCUUUCAAUUUUACUUGCUUUUCCUACAAAGUAUAUUUUGCAGACCCAGGCAGUGCUGCUUGUUCUGUUCUUGAUUCACCGAGUGCCGUGUGUGCUCAGUGCAAUCCUGUGCACUGGUCACUGUGCUGUGUGCCCUGGCCUGGGUGAGCAUCAUUCUUCGGGGAGAACCUUGCUGAAAACAAAGCUGCAUUCCAAAAAGUUAAAACCAUGCUACUUACUGUGUUGAGGUUAAAAUUAAAAGACCUAAGGGACUCAUCCAAAAGUUAAAACAUAAAUAAAUAACUUGGAACAUUACUAUACACCUGAUGAUAUCUUGAGUGAACGUGCCCCACUUUAAAACAAAACAAAACAUUACUAUUAUUCUAAAAUAUUAAUUUAGGAUUGUUAUGCAAAUAUGUACAAUUUAAAUUUUUAUUGAUGUAUAACAUGCAUACCGCAAUAUAGGCACAAAACGUUUAUGGAAUGCUUGAUGAGUUAUUACAAAAUAAAUACACUUGUGUAUCUAAGAAUCAGAUUUGUUCAUGCCCUUGACACUUUCUCCUUCCAAAAGGUAACCAAGACCUUGAGAGAUAAAUGCAGAUAAACUUUGUCAUUUUGUACAAGUGUUUUAUUACAGAACAUUAAAAACGUAUACACGAUACAAAAAAAGUAUAACAGACCAGUCACCCAGCUUUAAGAGCUACUAGUCAUGUGUCAUUUUUGUGUCACUUAUACUUCCAGCCAUUCCCCCACCAAUUUCAUUUUUUUUAGGCUUUUUGGAUAAAAUGUAUAUUCAUUGCAAGGUACAAUGUGAACUGUAAAUAGUAGAGAGAUGGGGUUUCAACAUGUUGGCCAGGCUGACCUUGAACUCCUCACCUCAGGUGAUCCAACCUCCGGUGAUCCAACCGCUUCAGCUUCCCAAAGUGCUGGGAUUACAGGCAUGAGCCAAUAUACUCUGCCUGAGAAUUCAUAUUUCUAACGAAGUACAAAUCCAUAGGUCACAUGACAACUGCAAUAUCUAUCUACAGUAGAUACAGUUUGAUGAAUAAAAUGAAAGGCAAUUGACCUAAGGUGAAAAAAAAAAAAACAAAAAGCAAUCAAAGCAUGGGUAUUACGUGCUAUCUGUUGGAGCAUUUGGUUAAGAAUAACAAACAUACCAAUUUUAUCGUUUUAAUAACCAAAAUUGUCAAAAUUUCUAGUUCUUCUUUCAUAGAAAUGCUCUCUGCAAGAAAAAAUUUUCAUAUAGUGAGGGCAAAAAUGAGAACCAUUUGCAAGUAAAUGUCUUAUGAAAUUAAGUAGCAGAUACCAACCUCAUGACCUUCAGAUAGUCAACCCAAACUCAAUCAUUUACAUAGCAAGUGCAGAUAAUUUUCAUAGCUUCCUAUUAAAAUUAUAUUUGAAUGCUCUUACAAAUUGUGACUGUUUUCACAUAAAGUUCACUAACUAGUAUUUUGUAUAUGACUUAUGAUAAAUUCCACUUCAAGUCACCUUACAUUUACUUAAUUUUAUUAGGCAGUGUCUGUCUACCACCCAGUAAUACGUGGGGAUUCUCCCUCCAUUUGCCCAUACAUCAUAGCUGGGGAAACAGGGAUUCACAAGACCCAGGCUGUUCCCUACAUAUUUUUCCUCCUCAGACAUCAGUUCAUCAGUCAGUCAAGUCAUGUGAGAGUGGAGGCCAUGUAUUCCAUAUUCUUGGGCACUCUCUUCCAAGGAGGAAAAGGCCAGGAGGUCCUGUUAGAGGAUGCAUUCUGAGAGGCCGGGCUCCCUAAGGUGUGAGAGUUCUAACCAGCAGGUGUAGACUUUUCAGGAGUGAGGAAUGAGGCAGGUAUUCCAAACCUGGAGCUUCAUCACCUUUUGUUUCAUCUCAAGACAACUCUGAGGGGCUGUUUUGGAACGUGUCUGGAAGGUGAACGUUGAAGAAGAGUGUGGGCUUUGAUGUGACUCAGAUGAGAUCUUUCAUGGGGAGGCAGGAAUUUAAUGCCCAGAAUCUGGGCUGGUGUCUUUGAGAUCGGUGGGUUGCCUUUUUGUAUCCAAGUCCAUUGUUACUAGUUUGGAGGCUGGAGAUUCUAAAUGGCUUCCAGACCGCCUCUCUGAUUCUCUUUUGGAGAUGGGGUCUGAAAAAGACAAUGUCAGUAUUUUUGGGAAAUUCUGGAAAGUCUGUUUGGAAACCUGCGAAGACCUCUUGCCUAGUGCCUAAAUGCUCAAUCUGCACCCCUAGCCACGUAGAUGUUUGGUAGGUAUAGAGCUGGGUUUGCAUUUAUAUCAGCAAAACCUAUGGCAGAGUUGAAGAAGUAAUCAGGACAAAGUGCCUUGGUCGCAUGCGAGAGAACAUCUUAAAAGCAAACUUCUAGCCUGCUGACUCUUGGCAAUGAGUGUUGGGUCCUGGCCAAAGUGCCUUGAAUGCAGCAUGAAGUCAAUCCAUAAAUCCAACUUCUAAUGGAGAAAUGUUAAUAUUUUUUCAGUUUGAAUCAAUCAGGGUGAAAUUACCAUGCUAUUGGUUUGUUUACUUUUUAUUAUUUCAUAUAAAAUCUAAGACAAAAUACAUUAAACGCUUAUUGACAUAUGUAUUUAUUCUUCA